rnacentral:rRNA from 1 species
GACGAACGCUGGCGGCGUGCUUAACACAUGCAAGUCGAGCGGUAAGGCCCUUUCGGGGGUACACGAGCGGCGAACGGGUGAGUAACACGUGGGUGACCUGCCCUCAGCUCUGGGAUAAGCCUGGGAAACCGGGUCUAAUACUGGAUAUGACUCCAUGACGCAUGUUGUGGGGUGGAAAGCCUUGUGCGGCUGAGGAUGGGCCCGCGGCCUAUCAGCUUGUUGGUGGGGUGAUGGCCUACCAAGGCGACGACGGGUAGCCGGCCUGAGAGGGCGACCGGCCACACUGGGACUGAGACACGGCCCAGACUCCUACGGGAGGCAGCAGUGGGGAAUCUUGCGCAAUGGGCGAAAGCCUGACGCAGCGACGCCGCGUGAGGGAUG